CACUGAGGUCAUCGGAGGAAUCAAAGCUCAAGGCUCCUGCUAAGAAUCAGGAGGUUUCAUUUUGCUGUUCCUGGGGGAUCUUGCUGUGGUCCAGCCUGGGACGGUGGAGCCCAAGUCCACAGGAGCAGGGCAGGAGCCUCCUACCAUGCCGGGCUGCUCCUGCUGGAAUGAUGUUUUCCAGUAUGAGACAAACAAGGUGACCCGAAUCCAGAGUGUGAACUAUGGCACCAUUAAGUGGGUUCUGCACAUGAUCGUCUUCUCCUACGUUAGCUUUGCACUGGUGAGUGAUAAGAUGUACCAGCGGAAGGAGCCCGUCAUCAGCUCCGUGCACACCAAGGUGAAGGGGGUAGCGGAGGUGAGAGAGGAGGUGGCCGAUGGAACGAAGAAGGCAGUGCAGAGGGUCUUUGACACUGCGGAUUACACCUUACCUUUGCAGGGAAACUCUUUCUUCGUGAUGACAAACUAUCUCAGGACCGAAGGCCAAGAGCAGCGGCUGUGCCCCCAGUACCCCACACCCAGGACACUCUGCUCCUCGGACCGGGGCUGUAAGAAGGGAUGGAUGGACCCACAAAGCAAAGGAAUCCAGACCGGCAGGUGUGUUGUGUACAGCGGGACCAAAAAGACCUGCGAAGUCUCUGCCUGGUGUCCCAUCGAGGCCAUGGAAGAGGCCCCCCGGCCUGCACUCCUGAGCAGCGCUGAAAACUUCACUGUGCUCAUCAAGAACAACAUCGACUUCCCUGGCCACAACUACACCACGAGAAAUAUCCUCCCUGGUCUGAACACCUCGUGUACCUUUCACAAGAUGAAGAAUACCCAGUGUCCCAUUUUCCGACUAGGAGACAUCUUCCAGGACGCGGGAGACAACUUCUCAGACGUGGCCAUCAAGGGAGGAAUCAUGGGCAUCGAGAUCUACUGGGACUGCAACCUGGACGGGUGGUCCCAUCACUGCCGCCCCAAGUACAGCUUCCGUCGCCUUGAUGACAAGACCGCCAACGAGUCCUUGUACCCGGGCUACAACUUCAGAUAUGCCAAGUACUACAGGGAAAAUAAUGUUGAAAAACGAACUCUGAUAAAAGUCUUCGGGAUACGUUUUGACAUCCUGGUUUUUGGCACGGGAGGAAAAUUUGACAUUAUCAAUUUGAUUGUGUACAUUGGAUCUACCCUUUCCUACUUCGGUUUGGCCACCGUGUUCAUCGACUUUCUCAUCAACACCUACUCGAGCGCCCUCUGCCGGUCGCACGUCUACCCCCGCUGCACGUGCUGCGAGCCCUGUGCAGCCAAUGAGUACUACUAUCAGAAGAAGUGCGAGGCCGUUGUGGAGCCCAAGCGGACAUUAAAGUACGUGUCCUUUGUGGAUGAACCUCACAUUCGGAUGGUGGACCAGCAGCUACUCGGGAAAAGCCUGCAAGAUGUCAAGGGCCAAAAAAUCCCAAGGCCCCCGAUGGACUUCACACACCUGGCCAAGCUGCCCUGGCCUCUCCCGGAUCCAGCCCCAGCCCCUGGACACCCAGAGGAGAUGCAGCCGCUUCGGGGGGCGGGGACCCCUGGGUGUGGGGACAGCCCAGGCUGGUGCCACUGUGGAAACUGCCUCGCCUCCCGACUCCCCAAGCACCACAAGUGCCUGGAGGAGCUGUGCUGCCGGCGCGGGCCAGGGCCCUGCAUCACCACCUCUGAGCUCUUCGGGAGCCUGGUGCUGUCCCGCCCUGCCCUGCAGCAGCUGCUGCUCUACCAGGAGCCCUUGCUAGCGCUGGACGAGGAGGCCACCAACAGCCGGCUGCGACACUGCGCCUACCGGUGCUAUGCCGCCUGGCGCUUUGGCUCCCGGGACGCAGCCGACUUCGGCAUCCUGCCCAGCUGCUGCCGCUGGCGGAUCCGCAGGGAGUUCCCCAAGAGCCAGGGCCAGUACAGUGGCUUCCGGCGGCCCUACUAACUGUGUGGGACCGAGGCAGCCACCUGAGGGUCCCCACUGCGCGCAUCUGAGCUUCACUGCUCAGACAGGGACCACGCCCAGCCCAAGGGCAAUUCGCCAUCCUCUCCUACAGCUUGGCAGUGUCCGGGCCAGAGUGACUCAUGGCAGCCACCACCAGCCCACCUGGCAGACCCUCUGCAGGGAUGGGGCCAAGGGAUGCAGAUUUCAGUCUCAGUCCUGUCCCUAGGAGGCCCUGCGACCCUCGGUCGUCAUUGUCUACACCUCUGUCUCCUCACUGCCCGUGCCCCGGCCCAGAGCCUUCAUGAGGACCGAUGACAGGGUCUGGAUCUUGUCAGUGCCAGAGCUUCGAGAUCCGGCGUCUCACCUCGAGCUCGGGGAGGAGAGGACGUCCGUCCUGGAACAGGGACUGCCUAGAGGUGUGGACGGCCACAGGUGGCCAUGGACCUGACACUUGUCCCUCAGGACCCGAGUAUGGGCCACUCUGGUGGCUUUAUCCAGUAGUGGAAGUGACACAGUGUCGCCUCAGGUCUCGGACUCGAGAGGCUGGAACUCCCCCUUCCUGCCCCUUGGCGCUCUUGCUGAGGGGAAGCAGGGCCUGAAGGUCCCCAAAUCACAGUUCAUUUAUUCAACAAAUACAGAGACAACCACUGGAGACUAAUGACAGAUAGGGCAGCAGGAAAUACAUGAAGAUGGACAGUAAUCAAAUGAUUCAAGCAGAUGUAAGCCUGCAACAUGUGAUGAGCAGCAUGAUGAAGGAGGGAGAUGGGGCUCCAGCAGCCCAUAAUCGGAGAAUCUGACCCAUUCGGGGAGACCAGAGAAAUCCUUCAGAGAAAGAAACAAUUUAGCUAAAACCUCAAGAGAAAGAACUAGUUAACCAGGAAGUCACAAAAAGCCCAGCAGUGAGUUAAAAGGAGGAAAAGCUCUGGCUUUCCAAGGGCCCUGAUUUGGGGCAUUGCCAAUCCAGAGUUGCUGUGAGUCAGCAGAGCCCCCGGGGUACCCUAAACCCGGGGCUGCGCCUGGGGGCUGAGCCUGGGGGCCCCGUGGGGAAACUCUCCUGCUCGAGCAGGCGCAACUCAGUUCCUCCCUGACCCUGACCAACCUCCAUCCGCUCGCCCUCGUGACGCCAGAGUUGGCCACUCCGAAUGCACUCGCGUGUGGCCCUGCCUGGUCUGCUGCGACUUCCUCCCCAGCUGGGGACGCACUUGACAGAUUCCUGGGUGUUGCGUGUUUAGCCAUCUCUGUAACCCCAGGGCUGGAAUCUCCUUAGCUGGUGAGCGGAGAAGUGAUUAAAACACCCUUAACUGGGCUGGGGAUUUAGCUCAGUGGUUUCGCCGCCUGCUGCGCAAGCAGUGACCUGAGUUCAAUCCCCGGUACCAAAAAAUAAAAAAAUAAAAAAUAAAACACCCCUAAUUAAGGACAACUAUAGCCCUCAAAAAUUAGAGGCUCAUAGCCGGGUAUGGUGGCAACUACACAGGAGGCUGAGGCAGGACAAUCACCUGAGCCCAGGAGUUUGAGACCAGCUUGAGGUACAGAGCGAGAUGCGGUCCAGAAAGAAAAGAGUGAAGGAGGGAAAGAGGGAGAGAAGGGGGAAGGGAAGAGAGAAAGGAAGGACAUUAAUUAAUUAAUAAUUAAUUAGAGGCUUGGCUUGACUCCUGCCCACAGUCAUUGUCUGCACAAAGCUCUAGGAGAAGCGGGAAGCGACCUGGAUGUUUCUCAGCCAGCAUCCACUUGCGGCCGUCAUCACCCUGGGGACCCCGAGCGUCCCCCGAUUGGACACCUUCUCUUCUGAACAGAUUAGAGCCGCUCUCUCCUUGUACUUUUACUGUGAUCUCCCCGAUUCCUGUCUUCCAUUCCCCAGGGGUUAUGGGCCAUGUUUCCUAAAUCAGUGACCAUCUAUGGGGAGCUUUUGUUCUUCCGACACCCUGGGCCCUUCUGAAUGAAUUCUCCAGGUCACGUGUGCCCGAGUCUUCCGGACCGGGGAGGAGGAGGCUGCGGCCAAGCUGACGCAUAGUUUUAGCCAAGUAAUCGCCACAGUGAGAGGCCGGGUAAGGGCAGCUCCCGCAGGGCCCCGAGCGAGACUGAGGAGCAUGGUGCGGUGCCAGGGUCUAGGUUUUAUUUCCUCUAACAAAGCUUUGUAAUGAGAAGGACUCAUCUUGGUUUGUUGUCCCUUACGUGCUUUCAUCAGCAUAGAAAUGCAGUGGACACGGCACAGACCUCCCAGUUAAGCCCUGCCUGGGCUACUUGUCAGCACAGGGCCCAGCCAGCUUACCCUGUGUCCACGGAUGCUAGCUACUCUCCCGAUAGGGACCGUGCCACGACUCCCUGCUGUGCUCCACGCAGACGGAGUUGACCCCCUCCGGAGAGGUUUCUGACAAUUCAGAGGCCACUCAAACAGGUGCAGGAAGCCAAGUACACGUCUGUAAACCCAGCACUUGGGAGGCUGAGGCAGGAGGAUCCCGUGAGUUCAAGGCCAGCCUGAACUACUGUGUCUCCAACAAAGCAAAAACAGAAAGAGAAGCAGUUCCAAGAGAGAUGGCACUAUCUCUGCUCCUCCACCCCACCCCACAUGCUCUUCCUGAACCUCGGAGCAGAAGUUCACAGCACCACCUUCCCCCAGAUUAAUUUGCCAAGCCAGAAAUGCAAAGGACACGCCUCCUCCCCCAUCCCGACCGCCGUCUCCACCGUCUCUACCGUUCAGUCUGCAGACUGCACUGAGCAGGCGCCGGGAAUGAGCCGUGUGAGGAAAACGGGCUGAGUGUGGCUCGAGACAAAGGGUUUCAGUGAGACAGGCUGUGUGACAGAAGCCUCGGAGAGUGUAGGGAAACGAAUGAAGGACACAGAAGGAGAAGCCCUGGGGAAGGGACAUCGGUUAGAAUUCUUCUGGGGUCAAAGGGGAGGACAGGUGAUGGAAAGAAAGGGAAGAUUCUCUGAAAAAUAAUUUGGAAAAAUUCCUUUAAGUCCAGCAGCAGGAUCCUGGUUAAAUAAAUUAUGUCACUCUACAGAAGAGUGUGAAGCUAUUUAAAAUGAUGCCGCAGAAGGACAGUUAGCGACAUGCACAGAUUCAGGGCAGAACACAACACACUGGCAUUUCUUGCUCAAGGAGAAUAUGAGCCUUUAAUUAGAGCUUGCUUUUCCUGGCAAAGACAGUAUGUAUUAAAAACCUUUUACCCCAAACACACGUUUAAGGAGACAAAGAACUACCUGCUUCCAGGCCAGGGAUUUAGCUCAGUGGCGCCACCUGCUUUGCAAGCGCAAAGUUCCUGAGUUCGAUCCCCAGUCCCCCCUCAAAAAAAGAACUGCGUGCUUCCUCACAGGAACACAUCCUGGACAACCACAAAGUCAAUCAUUCAGAGAUGUCAAAACUGGGCGUGGUGGCCCCCACCUGUGAUCCCAUCACUGGGGAGGCUGAGGCAGGAGGAUUGCCAUGAGUGCAAGGCCAGCCUGAACUACAUACUGAAACUCUGUCUCAAAAUAAAUAAUAUAUCA